AUUGCACGCUGGCGGCAGGCCUAACACAUGCAAGUCGAACGAGUGGCGGACGGGUGCGUCAUGUCUGGGAAACUGCCUGAUGGAGGGGGAUAACUACUGGAAACGGUAGCUAAUACCGCAUACCAUCGGAUGUGCCCAGCUGGGAUUAGCUAGUAGGUGGGGUAACGGCUCACCUAGGCGACGAUCCCUAGCUGGUCUGAGAGGAUGCCCAUCCACACUGGAACUGAGACACGGUCCAGACGCCGACGGGAGGCAUCAUUGGGGAAUAGUGCACAAUUGGCGCAAGCCUGAUGCAGCCAUGCCGCGUGUAUGAAGAAGGCCUUCGGGUUGUAAAGUACUUUCAGCGGGGAGGCGUUACCCGCAGAAGAAGCACCGGCUAACUCCGUGCCAGCAGCCGCGGUAAUUC
rnacentral:rRNA from 1 species